GCAAAAUGUUUUAAUCUUUCUGAAUGAAAAAGGUUUUCACAGUAUCAAAAGUGAAUAAUAAAAAAUAAAAAUAAAAAACAGAAAAGAAGCCAACUUGGCUUAGGCCUAAUGGAAUAAUAAACAUCCACAUUCCACACAUUUCAGAUAAUGUCUUCUAGUUAGUUGCAUAUAAACCUUAAAAGAUUUUCGGGAAGAAAAAAGAAAACCAAGAAGAGAAUAUAUGACGGAAAGCCUUUAAACAUCGAAGCACCACUUCCUUCGUAACAUCACUUCAACUAGCGAUCGUUUUGUGAUCAGAAAGGGAACUCAUCUAAGUUCAGGACUGCAGGAUCAGAUACGGAGUGACAAGCAGAAGUUCUCACUGAGGUGUACGACCCCAGAAGGGUCAGAGUAUUAUGAAAUAUUUUAAUCAUGGUUGAAAUCCUCACACAUCCUCAGAGAGACAGGUCAUUAUGGUUGAAAUCCUCACCCAUCCCCAGAGAGACAGGUCAUUAUGGUUGAAAUCCUCACCCAUCCUCAGAGAGACAGGUCAUCAUUAUGGUUGAAAUCCUCACCCAUCCUCAGAGACAGGUCAUCAUUAUGGUUGAAAUCCUCACCCAUCCUCAGAGAGGUCAUUAUGGUUGAAAUCCUCACCCAUCCUCAGAGACAGGUCAUUAUGGUUGAAAUCCUCACCCAUCCUCAGAGAGACAGGUCAUCAUUAUGGUUGAAAUCCUCAGAGAGACAGGUCAUUAUGGUUGAAAUCCUCACCCAUCCUCAGAGAGACAGGUCAUUAUGGUUGAAAUC
rnacentral:lncRNA from 1 species